AGGGUUCGAUUAUGGCUCAGGAUGAACGCUAGCUACAGGCUUAACACAUGCAAGUCGAGGGGAAACGACAUCGAAAGCUUGCUUUUGAUGGGCGUCGACCGGCGCACGGGUGAGUAACGCGUAUCCAACCUGCCCACCACUUGGGGAUAACCUUGCGAAAGUAAGACUAAUACCCAAUGAUAUCUCUAGAAGACAUCUGAAAGAGAUUAAAGAUUUACCGGUGAUGGAUGGGGAUGCGUCUGAUUAGCUUGUUGGCGGGGUAACGGCCUACCAAGCCGACGAUCAGUAGCCGGACUGAGAGGUUGAUCGGCCACAUUGGGACUGAGACACGGCCCAG
rnacentral:rRNA from 1 species